UUUACUUCCUAGCACUCCCGAGCCUGGGACUGAAUACCCAGGCCCCUACCCCCACCCCAUGUCCGCCCUUCCCCAUCAGCCCCUGGCUUGGCAUUGUCUGAGCAUCCCCCUUGCACCCAGUUCCCCUCUGUGGCUCUGUGCCUGAGACCUCCUUUCUUCCCUCCUGGCCUUCCCUCACCCCACAAACAUCCUGAGCUCCUCGGGGCCCAGCACUAUUGGGCAUGGACACAGACGCCUUGGAUGAUGUUUGGAGAACUUAAGUGAAUUACUGCCCUUCAGAACCUUGAUGUCUUCAUCCGUAAAAACGGGAGCAAAAUACUCCCCCGGAGUGCGAAUGAGGCCGUGGGUACAAGUUCAACCUUGCCUCCCUCCCCUCCUGGGACUGCCCCAAAGAGGCAAAUCCAGAAGCUAGGAGUUCCCAGAUGGUGGGUUAGAUGGAGGGCCACCACGAGAGUUUGGGAGGAAGGUAAAGUAUUGAGUUUGGGAGACAAGAGCCCCGGCUGGUGGGGGGUGGGGGGACAGUCUGGCUAAGCCUCACCUGGGAACAGGAGAAAGCUCCGGGGUUGGUCAAGAUAAACCUGGCCUUCUAGAGUUUUCCGGAGCAGAGAUGGUUCUGCCAUGCAGUCCUUUGGGGGCUUUUAGACAAGAUGGCAGCCGGAAAAGAGAGGCCGGAGGCCAGGCAGGGAGAAGAGAUCUACAAGGCUUACAGGUCAGAGCCAUUCAUGUUUCUUAGGCCCCUGGCUUCCAGGUGGAACAGGUCCUGAGGCCCCUCUGCCCACCUGUCAGUCAAGGCCCUUUGAAAGCCCCCUCCACCUGCCCUUUAUCCAUUAACUCCUUCCUUCAACAAAGGUUUGUGAAGGACUUCCUCCGUGUCAGGCAGGGUGGGCUUCCUGGGCGGGCAACCGUGGGGACGCCCAGGCCCCGAAGCUCAAAAGGGCCUCACGCUUGGCUUAAUGUUCGGCUGCUUCUGUGUUGCAAUUCUUCCUAAUCUAUGAACAAAGGGCCCCUGUUUUCAUUUUGCACUGGGCCCUGCAAAUUACGCGCCCGUCCCAGUGCCAAGCACAGUGCUGGGCUGGAGGGCACCGCAGAGAGCGAGCCCGCACGGCGGCCUCCAUCGCAAAGCUGGCUUUCAGCCCAGAGGAGACGAAGCGGGAAGCUUCAACGGGAUUAGAGGUCCGGAGGGGUGGCAGUGCUGUCCCUUGAUUCUCUCGGAGAAGGAUGUGGUGCACUCAGCCGGGGCCAGGCAGCACAGGGAACACAGGAGGGUCAGGGAGCAGAGACCCGAACGGGCAUCGUGGUGGGUAGGAAGCAAACGCGGGGGCCUGCGGAGGCAGUCAGAGGAGUGCUGGCGGGCCUCCCGAGUCCACGGGUGAGGGGCGCGCCCUAGAUCAUCUUGUGAUAAGCCACAGGGCUAAGUCAACAGGAUGAGGCAGUGGGAAGGAGAUCUCCUGGACCAGCUGCCAUUGACCUGCGUCCUGGAAGGAGGAGGGAGAGCCAGCUUCGCCAGGGAAAGGCAUCGGAGGCAGAGCGACCAGCAGGUGCACAGGCUGUGCAGAACAAGGAACAGACGCGGGGCUUUGUUGCCCCUGAGCUCACUUCCGUCACCAGCUGAGAUGAAGGAGGUUACUUUCUUCCCCAGUCCUCUGCUGCAGCCCUGUCUGCUUUUUAAUCCACUCUUAAGUUUUUCAGGGGGAUUGUGACCAGCGAGGGAGGCAGGGGGUAGGGGCAGCAGGUGCUGGAGCUACCGAUUUACAUAUGAAAACAACUGAUUGGUCAGCAUCUGCCCUGCUCCCCUCAACCCCAGGAAGGCCCUGAAGCCAGGAUUAUGGUUCACCCCUCGGCACAUCCCACCGGGAGCCCAGUGGAGCCUGGCCCACAGCAGGUGCUCAGUGCGGUCUGUUCUUCUCGGACCACAGAGAAGCAGACCGGGAUUCUGAGAGUGUCACGCUACUCAUUCGGGAGGAGACCAUCAUCCAAAGCCGCAUCUGUCUGCACAGCCCGGGCUUUGAAGCACCUGGUGGUUUAGUGGCCUGGGAGCAGAUCAUUUCUCCCCCUCGCUUGAUCCGACAGCAAACCUUCUCCAUCCUGACUGUGCUGUCGAAUUUCCCAAAUCCGCCCCCCCCCAGCUGUCAAAAUGCGCAUACCCACACCCCUGGUCCCCGUGGGCCCUGUGAUUCUGCACCUUUACUCGGUUCCCAGGGGGUGCUGAUGUCGCCCGGUAUGUGGACUCCGAAGUUAGAAUUAACUUUCCUCCUCUUCCACUAAAGGAGACCACACACGAGACAAACACAACAGAAGGAAGGGACCCGGGGCCCAGAUCUAACAGGGAGGGCUGGGGAGAGGGCGAGCUGGAAGCCACAUUCCUGUGGGGGCGUGGGGGGGGGUGCCAUCCAGGAAUUGUAUUCUGACGUUCCCACAGAAUGCUAACUUUCAAGAGAGGCGGAAACCCUGCUUUUAUGUGACGGCUCUCAGUGUGUAUGGGCAGCUAAUUCAAUUUGUUUUUCAACUGUUAGACCAAAGAAAACCCAUCUACCAGCCAGAUGCCGGACUUCAGUUUGCCACUGUCCCUGUAUAGGUCUCUGCUGGGUUUGGAGGGUGUAUGCAGCCUCCCCACUCCCCACACCAAAGGACCCCAAGCAGCUGGAACUUUUGAUCAAGGACGCUUUUCACAUAUGCUCGACACAGAAAACAGAAACAGAGCUUCUCCGGUUAAACAGAGCGAGGAAGGGUGGCUGUAAUUGCUCCAAUUAACAAAGAAGAAUGUAGAAUGCCCAGUUAAAUGUGAAUUUCGGACAAAUAAUGAACGAUUUUUUUUUUAAUUUUUUAUUUAUUUUGGGGAGAGAAA